rnacentral:tRNA from 3 species
GGCCGGAUGGUGAAGUGGUAACACCUGUGUCUGCAAAACACAUAUGCGCGGGUUCGAUUCCCGCUCCGGCCU